GAUGAAGAACGUAGCGAAAUGCGAUACUUGGUGUGAAUUGCAGAAUCCCGUGAACCAUCGAGUCUUUGAACGCAAGUUGCGCCCGAAGCCAUUAGGCCGAGGGCACGCCUGCCUGGGCGUCACACGUCGUUGCCCCCCCAUCUACUCCUUCGGGAUUGCGAGGGGCGGAUGAUGGCCUCCCGUGCGCCUCGUCGCGCGGUUGGCAUAAAUGCCAAGACCUCGGCGACGCACGCCACGACAAUCGGUGGUUGCGAAACCUCGGUUGCCCGUCGUGUGCGGUCGUCGCGCAUCGAGGGCUCGAAAAAAUUGCCGGGCUCCGGCUCGGCUUUCAACGCGACCCCAGGUCAGGCGGGGUUACCCGCUGAAUUUAAGCAUAUCAAUAAGCGGAGGA
rnacentral:misc_RNA from 1 species